UAAGGUAUGCAUUCACCUCCCUACAUGUGAAGCUAGGUAAGGUAUGCAUUCACCUCCCUACAUGUGAAGCUAGGCUAGGUAAGGUAUGCAUUCACCUCCCUACAUGUGAAGCUAGGUAAGGUAUGCAUUCACCUCCCUACAUGUGAAGCUAGGCUAGGUACGGUAUGCAUUCACCUCCCUACAUGUGAAGCUAGGUAAGGUAUGCAUUCACCUCCCUACAUGUGAAGCUAGGUAAGGUAUGCAUUCACCUCCCUACAUGUGAAGCUAGGCUAGGUAAGGUAUGCAUUCACCUCCCUACAUGUGAAGCUAGGCUAGGUACGGUAUGCAUUCACCUCCCUACAUGUGACGCUAGGUAAGGUAUGCAUUCACCUCCCUACAUGUGAAGCUAGGCUAGGUAAGGUAUCCAUUCACCUCCCUACAUGUGAAGCUAGGCUAGGUAAGGUAUGCAUUCACCUCCCUACAUGUGAAGCUAGGCUAGGUAAGGUAUGCAUUCACCUCCCUACAUGUGAAGCUAGGCUAGGUAAGGUAUGCAUUCACCUCCCUACAUGUGAAGCUAGGCUAGGUAAGGUAUGCAUUCACCUCCCUACAUGUGAAGCUAGGCUAGGUAAGGUAUGCAUUCACCUCCCUACAUGUGAAGCUAGGCUAGGUAAGGUAUGCAUUCACCUCCCUACAUGUGAAGCUAGGCUAGGUAAGGUAUGCAUUUACCUCCCUACAUGUGAAGCUAGGCUAGGUAAGGUAUACAUUGAGAAUGUUUGUUGUCAGUCGAGAGAACCGGGGACGAUGUGUGUGGAAAACGGUGUAUUUUAUGCUAGUUGCCCCAGUAAAUAAUUGUACAGCACAAGAGUCGAAGGAGUCGAAGAAACUGGACAUAUUGUCGCUGCGGCAGAAAAGUUGCUGGGUUUGCAAGAGUUCAUAGCUGAAGACCUAAAAAUGCUACUGGCAGGUACUGAAGAUUUUCCACCCUCCCAGGUUCCUGAGCCUCAGUAGGGAUUGGCUUUGCUGUUUUUAACAGAAUAAAAUAGGAUGUUUUUGUUCAGUUUUUUGUUGUUGCCGUUGGUAGUCUGUAUGGAUUUCUCCCCAACCCCCAACUCCCACAAUGCUCCUGUUUUGUGAGAUCUUUUUGUUUUCAUCCCACACAGUAGGUGGUGGCGUGCCCCUCUGUUUGUUUGCGGACUGCCAUAAUACCAUAGAAGAAGAACAGCUAGCUACAAGACAACAGCGUUAAAAUCGAGCUGGUAAUUAUUUUCAUCCCGGGAGCUGCACUAAAACACUGACGCCAGAGAAGAAGGAGCCCUAGUCAGACACAGGUGGUGUGCAUACCAUCCACCGCUUCAGAGUACAUUAUUCGUUAACGUUCAGUCCCUGGACAAUAAAGAAGACAAGCUCAGGGCGAGGAUCUCCUUCCAGAGAGACAUCAGGGACUGUAACAUACUCUGUUUUACGGAAUAGUGUCUCUCUCUGGAUAUAUUGUCUCCCGUCCAUUCAGCCCGUCCAUCGCUCCGACAGGAAGAAAGAAUUCCCCAGGAAAAAUCUAAUCACAUUUAAUUGGUCACAUAUUCAGCAGAUGUUAUUGUGGGUGUAGCGAAAUGCUUGUAUUCCUAGCUCCAACAGUGUAAUAAUAUCUAACAGUAAUACACAUGAAUCUAAAAGUAAAAGAGCAAGAUGUAUAUGUGAUGUAUAGAUAUUAUGGACAGUAUGUGGAAAGAAUAUUUUGUAUAUCUGUAGAAUUCGUAGGAUAGAAUACAGCAUGUACAUAUGAAAUGAGUGUUCUCUUAUUAAAGUGAGGCGGAAGGGUUUGUUUCAUGAUUAACAA